GGGUUCCUGGCAUGCUGAUUUGUGACUUAAGAUUAAAAUCACAUUGCCAGGGAUUACCACG
rnacentral:pre_miRNA from 1 species